GCCGGGAUGGCGGAAUGGUAGACGCAGUGGACUCAAAAUCCACCGGGGGCAACUCCAUGGGAGUUCGAGUCUCCCUCCCGGCACCA
rnacentral:tRNA from 1 species